rnacentral:tRNA from 1 species
GCCACCUUAGCUCAGCUGGUAGAGCGGCCGCCUUGUAAGCGGUAGGUCGCCGGUUCGAUUCCGGCAGGUGGCUCCA